rnacentral:tRNA from 3 species
GCCCGAGUGGUGGAAUGGCAGACACGGAGGUCUCAAAAACCUCUGAGCUCGCGCUCAUGUGAGUUCGAAUCUCACCUCGGGCACCA